rnacentral:rRNA from 1 species
UACGAAGGGGGCUAGCGUUGCUCGGAAUCACUGGGCGUAAAGCGCACGUAGGCGGAUUGUUAAGUCAGGGGUGAAAUCCUGGAGCUCAACUCCAGAACUGCCCUUGAUACUGGCGAUCUCGAGUUCGGGAGAGGUGAGUGGAACUGCGAGUGUAGAGGUGAAAUUCGUAGAUAUUCGCAAGAACACCAGUGGCGAAGGCGGCUCACUGGCCCGAUACUGACGCUGAGGUGCGAAAGCAUGGGGAGCAAACAGG